rnacentral:rRNA from 1 species
GACGAACGCUGGCGGCGUGGAUUAGGCAUGCAAGUCGAACGGUAUCAUCCUUUCGGGGGUGAGAGAGUGGCGAACUGGUGAGUAACACGUAGGUUAUCUACCCUCAAGACGGGGACAACCCAGGGAAACUUGGGCUAAUACCGGAUGUGAGCAACUUUUAGUUGUUUGAAAGGUGGCGUAAGCUGUCGCUUGGGGAUGAGCCUGCGUCCUAUUAGUUAGUUGGUGAGGUAACGGCUCACCUAGGCAAUGAUAGGUAGGCGGCCUUAACGGGUGGUCGCCCACACUGGGAUUGAGAUACGGCCCAGACUCCUACGGGAGGCAGCAGUCGAGAAUAGUCUACAAUGGUCGGAAGACUGAUAGUGCGACGCCGCGUGAACGAUGAAUCCCUUCGGGGUGUAAAGUUCUUUUAUAUGUGAGCAGUGCUUCUUAUAUUAACAGUAUGGGGAGAGAGAUAUUAGCAUAUGAAUAAGCAACGGCUAACUCCGUGCCAGCAGCCGCGGUAAUUACG